rnacentral:siRNA from 1 species
UGCACAUUUGUGAACGAAAUUGCC